rnacentral:rRNA from 1 species
GACGAACGCUGGCGGCGUGCCUAAUACAUGCAAGUAGAACGCAGUUGCGAACGGGUGAGUAACGCGUAGGUAACUGCCCCAUAGCGGGGGAUAACUAUUGGAAACGAUAGCUAAUACCGCAACCUUUGAGAUGGACCUGCGUUGUAUUAGCUAGUUGGGGAGGUAAAGGCUCACCAAGGCGACGGUACAUAGCCGACGUGAGAGGGUGAUGGAGCACACUGGGACUGAGACACGGCCCAGACUCAUACGGGAGGCAGCAGUAGGGAAUCUUCGGCAAUGGACGGGAGUCUGACCGAGCAACGCCGCGUGAGUGAAGAAGGUUUUCGGAUCGUGAAGCUCUGUUGUUAGAGAAACGGUAACUAACCAGAAAGGGACGGCUAACUACGUGCCAGCAGCCGCGGUAAUAC